rnacentral:lncRNA from 1 species
AAAGCACCAGCGAACGCAGGGUGUUGGUCAUGGCGGCGAGGGGCACUGCGGCAGAUUUUUUUCCUCCCUUCUUUGCUGCAAUCUGGGUGCGGCUAGAGCAAUUUGUCAUAGAAUCUGGGGGGCUCAUUUUUCCGGCCAAUCACUUUUGGAGAAAUGAGCGCAUUGCAGCAGAAUGCGCUGACGUCAGAGACCACCCCUUCUGCGCCUCCAUAUAAACCCCACCCAGCCAGCCCCUAGCGCAGACGGCGGAGAGCGGAGAUGGAGCGCGCCUUGGCCGCGCUGGCCUCGGCCGCAGCUCCUCGGGAGAACCGGGGCGCCCACGCGAGAAUCUCCCCACCUGCAAUAUGUUUUGUAUCACGUGUCCCAGAGACCGCACAAAUGAGUGAAAAACGGUGUAUCGAGAACUGGGCCUUUACAAUUCUAAUUAAUUUACGCUUAAUUGGAUUUACCGAAAGGGUGUCUUCAGGGAUGACAUCAUCCGUUCACCUCCUUGUCUUCAAGGACCACCUCUCGAUGCCACGCUGCUGCCAAGAGGACAGUAGGAGCUCUGACCCCUGGAUGGCACCGGCAUACCAAGCAGCCACUGGCAGAGACCCCCCCCCCCCCAGGGAUGAGGAUGACGAAGGAUGAAGAGGACCAGAACCGACCAGCCAGCUCUCCCUCUUGGCUGAAUGCUUAAACCGAUGCCCUAGUGAGGGGGCAUUGGUCAUUAACCCUUGACCUUUGCUAUGCUUAUGCCUUGAUGCUAUGAAUACUUUCCUAUAAGUCUCUGCUUGUGUUUAUGUGCCAGCAACCUGGAGUGUUUCCCUCCCCAACCAGUUGUCAGUCGUUCUCCCAUGACAACCCUGUGGUUGCCUGUAUGAUGGCCUGAACGGAAGGAUCCCUUUGGGAACUUCUCAGGAGGGGGACCUGGGCCAAGGGCUUGACCAGCAUCUCACUGGCAAUUCCAAGGCUCAGGGUGGGCUUCUGGAAUGAGCAUGAGCCCCGAUGCCAUGCUACCGAACUGCCAAGGGCAUCCCUACCUCUUCUGAGAUCUCCCUGUCCUUUCUGGGGAAUGGGGACAAGAAGAGCAGCCUCCCAGGGUUGUUGUGAGUAUUGAAUGAGAUAAAACUGCCUCAGGCAGGGCUGGGCAUAGAGGAGGUGGUCAGCAAAUGUCUGUUGAAAGAGUUGCGUAGGUCAGUCCCUUCCCACCCCUGUCACCCUCGUCUCAUGCUUCUCGUUUAUUCUCCCACAGCGCUCCAGGCAGCCCUUGUCCGCGGGGCUCUCCUUCAAGCAGGUAGGGGUCACCAAGAUGGGCGUUGGGCUGACCUGAGUAGGAACAUGAAUCGUGCAUGUGGUCAUUUCCAGAGCACUUUCUGUGUUCUACAGGCGUCUUAUUUCCAUGUCGUACGUACACACGAACAAAGCAGCCUCAUUUACAGAUGAGAAUGGGUUCAACAUUGAUUUGAGGGAUUUUAAAAGGCUCGGGGGUAGGGGGAGGAGGAUGUUAGGAGAAGCAAGUGCCCUUCCCGUGGCACGGGACACGUUCACAUUCACAGCAGGGGCGCUGAGGUUGGAGGAGUGUAAGUGUUUGGUCGCAUUGUUGGCAAGAGAAGGGGUCAGAGUUGGACCCUAGUGCCCUUGUGGCUGCACCGUACCCUCCUGGCCCAGAGUUCUACUAAGAGCCCUUUGAUUUCCAAUCAGACAUUUGACAGUGGGAUAGUCUGUUUGAAAUCCCAGCUGUCUAGCCUGGUCUCAGGGGGGUGUGGGUGGCCCUGGCGCUGGUGCCUUGUGCUGGUUCCACCUUUCAACUACGGUGUGACCUUAACCAAGUCACUUAACUUCUCCAAACCCCAGUCCUUUUCAUGGGCUAAAUGGGGAUUUAAAAAAAAAAAAAAAAAGCAAGCACUCCCGUUUACCCCACAGGGAGCUUUUGAAGACCAAAUGAUGUAACCACUAUGAAAGUGCUUUGUAAAUCUGUGGAAAUUGCUAGAUACUUAACUCCCGGGGAUCGCGCCUCGCAGUGCACAUGCCCAAGCCUAUUCUCCCUCAGUAAUAACGGCACCCAGUAGGUGCUGUGUGUGUUUGCGCUCAAUAAAUAAAUUCCAGAGUAAAUAAAAGCAGAAUUAAUUCAACAAACAUUUUCUGGAACGCCGACAAUAUGCCCAGCACACCAGGCCUGGUAUGUGAUCCAAAGAUGAUGAAAACAGUCUCCUGGAAGCUAAUUGGGGUCCUCAUUCGACCCGCACUUUCUUUCGUCCCCUUUUAAGCCAACCAGUUUUGUCCGGACAAGACAAAAACAACUCUGGCGCUUUAGAGAAGCCCAGCUCGGUGGAGACAAUAGCUCCUGGGCAUCUGAAAGGGGCUGAUUGGAUUAUGUGGCAAAUAGAAGGUGGAAGGGUGACUUGGAAGGUGACAAAUGAAGUGGGCGGAGAGCUGCUUUGAGUUAAUCCAGGCUAUUAGGAGGGAACCUUUUGUCUUCCAGGGGCUGGCAGGAGCUUUUACCACUGGUUUUUACAUCCUUAAUGUAAGGACGCAUAAUUUAUGGUCAGUGAAAAUCCAGGCCCCGGUGAGAUUUGAGUGGGCUGUAAAAUUGAGCGUCCUGCUACCAGUGAGUAAUUAUAGUGAACAUUUAUGUCUCCCUUUGCAGUC